GAGACGCCGUUGCCGUGGCAGCGGUCGGGGAGCCGGUAUAGGUUUUGCCGGGGAUCCCAGCAGCGGCAGGGGCACUUAGGGGCAGUUUCAUGAGCCGACCAGACACAGUGGCUGAGGCUGCGACGCCGGAGACUGAAGCCAAGAGGAUGGCACACCUGCUGGGCAGCCAGGCCUGCAUGGACAGCCUGCGCAGGGACCUCACCGACCUUCAGGGCGCCAUCGUAGACGUGUUCUCGCGUGCCGGGCCUGUGCACUUCCCCUCCUGGAAGUUCCCUGACCGCAUGGCCUGUGACCUGGACAUGGUGGCCCUGCUAGAGCACUACGACCACGUGCCGGGUGACCCCGAGUUCACGCAGCUGUCCCACGCUGUGCUGCUGGAGCUGGUCAUCGACAGGCUCCUGCUGCUGCUUCAGAGCUGUGCGAGCUACUUGGAGAACCUCGGCGUAGAGCAGACGGUGCCCCCCUCCAGGGCAGCCAGGCCCUGCAUGUCCGUGGGGCUCACGGUGCGGCGCUUCUGGAACAGCCUACUGAGGCUGGUCAUGCUCAUUCGGCAGGUGGCCCCCCAGAAAAGGGCAACCCAAGGGGAGACCCCCACCUCCAAGCCCACAGCCAAGGGCGAGCCAGCCAGGAGCCCUGAAUUUGUGACUGCCAAGCUCAUCAAGCCCACCUCACCAAUGCCAGGCUUGCCCCAGACCUGCCAAGAGCUGGACAGACUCCCUGUCAGCGUCUCCCUGCAGUGUCCAGGCAGGACGGCCGAAAACACCAGGAGUGUCCAUUCCCAGACCGUGGAGACAGCCCUGGUGCCCUGUGAUGCAUGCACCAGCGUCCAGGGCAGCCUGCAGGAGGUGGGCAAGAUGGUCAUCAGCCUGUGUCAGAGCCAGAACUUGCCCUCGUCCUUAGGCCAGUUCCAGCAUCUGGUGCAGGACAGCAUGGGGCUCAGGUCGCUGCCAGCCACCACCGUGGGCCACUGGGCGGCCGAGCAGAGCAAAGACCUGGCACGCCUCAGCAAGCACAUGGGGGCCCUCACUCAGCUUGUAGGGCCCCUCAGGGCCCAGCUGGAGGAGGCUAAGGGGCAGAAGGACAGACUGAGGAAGAAGGUGGGCGAGCUGGAGCAGGCCCUGCAGCAGGAGCAGGGGGCACAGCAGCGGCAGGCGGACGAGGCCGAGCAGCGCCUGGCCCAGUGGGAGCGCGACAGGCGGCAGCUGCUCACAGAAACAAGUGACCUCAAGACAAAGGUGUCCACCCUGGAGGGGGAGCUGAAGCAGCAGCGGGAGUCCACGUGGGCCGUGGAGACGAAGGCCCAGGAGCUGCAAGAGGAGGCUGAGCACAGGGCGGAGGCUGAGAGGCAGGUGCAGCAGCUGGAAGAGCAGGUGCAGCUGCUGGCAGGGCGGCUGGACGGAGCCAGCCAGCAGAUCCGCUGGGCCAGCACAGAGCUGGACAAGGAGAAGGCCCGUGUCGAUAGCAUGGUCCGCCACCAGGAGUCGCUGCAGGCCAAACAGCGAGCCCUGCUACAGCAGCUGGACACCCUGGACCAGGAGCGUGAGGAGCUGAGGGGCAGUUUGGCUGAGGCCGAGGCCCAGCGGGUCCACGCGGAGAAGCAGCUGCAGCACGUGCAGAGCGAGAGGGAGCAGGGGCGGUGCCAUGGAUCUGCAGCUGACCAUCUCGGAGCGAGAACGCGAGCUCGUGGAGUUGAGGGAGCGGGAGAGGCUGCUGGUGGCCUUUCCGGACCUGCACAGGCCUGUGGAAGCCCAGAUCCAAAGCUCUGGCAAUGUCACGGACGACAUGGAGAAGCAGGUGCAGGCCAACGACAUCCGUAUCCGGGUCCUACAGGAGGAGAACGGGCGGCUGCGAUCCAUGCUGUCUAAGAUCCGGGAGGUGGCCCAGCAGGGGGGCCUCAAGCUGAUCCCACAGGACCAGCUCUGGGCCCCUCCCAGCAAGGGAAUCCACAGAGCAGCGCCCCCAGCCCAGGCCCAGAGAGCAUCUCCAGGGCCCCUGGGUAGGCAGCACUCACCUGGCAGCAGGACGGCCAGUGCGGGCAGGACCCUGCUGGGCCAGCCCCAGGCCUCCCCGCCUCGGCAGCCCUGCAGUCAACCCAGCAAGUCCUCCCUAGAGGAUGUGACCCACUCGACCAACUGUGCCCAGAACCCCAUCCGGGCCUUGGCCAGGCUGAGAAGGAGACUGUCACCAAGCCGGGGCCAGGCCGGCCCUGCAUACCAGCCCCAGGAGCGGCCCACAUAGCCUGCAUUGGGGUGGGGCUGGAGGGCGGGAAGCUGGCAACCCACCCCAUGUAAUAAAGCCCAGGCCAUCUGCUCAC